GGAAGAUACUAAUGCAUCAUUUAAAAUAUCCGAAGAGAAAAUAGUAAAUACUAAAUACAUUUAAAUUUUCUAGCAUCAUGCGGUCACAUAAUUCUUCAAUUUACUAAUCAUUGGGUAAAUAAAUUCAAAGAAAUGGACCCCAAUUUUCUAUCCAAUGUUCAGAUUAACAACAAUCUCUCAAGCCAAACAUCUUGCUUCAACCUCGAAAUUGAUCCACC
rnacentral:misc_RNA from 1 species